rnacentral:rRNA from 1 species
CAGUCGCCGCGGUAAUACGUAGGUGGCAAGCGUUGUCCGGAAUUAUUGGGCGUAAAGGGCUCGCAGGCGGUUUCUUAAGUCUGAUGUGAAAGCCCCCGGCUCAACCGGGGAGGGUCAUUGGAAACUGGGAAACUUGAGUGCAGAAGAGGAGAGUGGAAUUCCACGUGUAGCGGUGAAAUGCGUAGGGAUGUGGAGGAACACCAGUGGCGAAGGCGACUCUCUGGUCUGUAACUGACGCUGAGGAGCGAAAGCGUGGGGAGCGAACAGGAUUAGAUACCCCGGUAGUCCCUGUCUCUUAUAC